rnacentral:misc_RNA from 1 species
AACGCACGAGACCUGCGGACCUGCGGAAGGAUCAUUACCGAGUUUACAACUCCCAAACCCCCUGUGAACUUAUACCAUUACUGUUGCUUCGGCGGGUUAUUGCCCCGGGGAAGGACAGGCUGCCGCAAGGUGCCCUGCCGCCCCCCCGGAAACAGGCGCCCGCCGGGGGACUUAAACUCUAUAUUUUUUUCUUGUUUUAGUGUAUACUGUCUGAGUAAAAAAACAUAAUGAAUCAAAACU